UCUCCCGGUCUCGCGUCGUUACCCCUGCGUGAAGCGAUAAGUCGCGCGCGGGUCGGCGAUUCACUCUGGGGGUCUCCGCCGCUGAGCCCUCCUGAAAGACUGACUGGCGGAAACUGGGACUGGAGUGUGAGCAUCUGAGGGGCUCUCCAGUGGGGCUUGGAGAGGAAUGUCUCAAAUGACUUUUCUUGAAAGCUGAGGGUGGCAUCUUCUGAUCAAUCAUGUCAUCAAUUGCUAGAAAUAUGAGAACUCUCCAGAAGAUCAAGUACCGUGUAGUAGUUACCAUGCACAGGCCCCAUAGAGCCCUGGCCUUGGAGAAUGCCCUAUUCACCAACCCAAAAGAAGGUCCCAUGUGACAAAGUUUGGAUUAGACAUUACAAAUGGCUUCCAAUGGACUACUUGCCAGACUUUGUCAUGGGAACCAUCUGACGAGCAGAACAAAGUGCAAGUGCAUAAGCAACUUCCAAUGAGAACCUCUGUAUGGGCUUGGCCCAGGUAUCUUGAAACCCUGGGAAGACCUAAAUAUAAACAAAAUUUUGCAAAGAAGAAGGGAAUCAUGAACAAAUCACCUUUCUAUAAGACACCAUAAACGAUGACUGGAGAUCUGAAUUGGAAAUGUAUCUCUGUCAGGAAUCUUCCUCUGACUACAAGCUUCAAGGACAGGAACAUCAACCUUCUCUCUAUCCUCUCCUUCCUAUUCUGCAAGAGGAGACAGUACUCUAAUUGCAGGCAGAGAUCCACAUUUACGGCCACUGCAGCCUUGUGACCCAAGGCUCUGGAAUGGAUCAGCCCUCCUACUCACUCCCUCCUGCACACACCGUGUCUCCAUGGAAACAGCUUGUCAGGCCCUGUUUGGCUGCAGGUUCUGAAGACCUCUCAUCUGCAGCCCCAGUCCUGCACAGAUUCAGUCUUAAUAAGCCAGGCUUCUAAGGAGGAACUUGUACUAGGAGGCCCAUCCUCUCUAGCUGGUGGGGUCUGGAAUUGUCCUUAAGUCUCCUUUGGGGUAUACGUGGGGAGUCCUGAAUGCCACUGAGUUGCCCUGACCUUCCAACACUGAUAUUCAGGUCAAUGGCAGGGUUUCCAUCCUGGGUUUCUGCUUCAGCCUGAACUCAUCAUCUCCUUCUAGCAAGCCUUCUGCUCCCAUCAUCUCUCCCCACCCACCAAAGGUGAAAGUCAUUUUGAGCUCUACAGGCCUCACCUGUGGCUAAUCACCAAGAGUCUUCUGUUGUCGGGCAUCAUUCAUCCAUCAGAUUGGAUCAGGCAUUUGCUACACUGCCAGGACACUGCGACUUGGACUGCUGGCCACUGUCCUUGGGGGUACAUCUACAAAUGGGUCAGUUGCCCCAGUUCACUCUGGCUAGUUCUGGUUGCCUCUUUUUUGUUAGUCACUGGGGAGGUCCCUGCCGGCCUCAUGGCUGAACCCUUGUGGCCUCAGUCAGCAGCUGGAGAGCCAUUCCUAAGAGCUGAGAUAGUGACUCAGCCCUUCUCUCAUUACCGAGGGAAGAUUCCUUUCUCACUGGUUAUGCAAUGUCACCCAGGCUAUGUUUUCAUUAGUGGAGUCCAAAAUUUGGAAUCGUGGUAAGAGGAGAAAAUGGCAGUUAAUCUCAGGAAUAGAUAAGAUCUGUCAUGUUUCUGCAGGAGAGAUUUUCUUUUUUUCUCUUUUUGUUUUUGGUGGGUCAUGGGUGGGUGAAGGAAGUGGUAAGGAACCUGUGUUCAUAUAUAAAGAAAUAAAUCAAAGGAGGAGUUGGAUGUAUACGAUGCUUUUGCUCGGAGAGUUCAAUGGAUUAUCUGGGAAAGAAGCCAGAAAAAGAGAGACUUCUCAUCAGAGGUAGGUGCCCACCCAUGUAUGUAAAAGAGCAUUUAGACCUCAGCCCUGUUCCAUUCAUUUUUUCCUAAAUCAACACAUCUCUCAUCUCCCAGAAAUGAGAAACCAGUCAACUUUUUGCUGUGGACCUGGAUGAAAUGAAAAAAAAGAAUGGAUUUUGCUUCAAACUGGGUUCCCUUGCUUGCAAUGUAAGGCUUACACAGAAGAGUAAGGACACUAGGAAGAGGAAGUAGCAAAGCAAAGGCACAAUCUCACCUUCUCCCCUGCAGUAAGAAAGUAAAAGAUCCAUUAGAUGAGAAAAUGUAUGUGAAAGCACUUAGCACAGUGCUUGGCGAAUGGAUGGGAUUCAAUAAUAUUGACUCUUUGUUUUAUCUAUGCUCAGUGUAGAGACUCAUAAGGCAGAUUAUGUGUAGGGAGAAUAUAGGGGGAACCAGUGGGAGUGAGGGAGUAUGCUCUACCUCGAUGAUAGUUAAAAUUUUGCUGUUAGAGUUUCUUUCCUUUGACUGUAUCAAAAAACAAACACCAACUAGAGGCAAAAGACAUUGUCUUCAGACAUUUCUAUUUCUAUUUUACUAUUAAUGGUUCGUUAUAUUCUUUCUCUCUUGUCUGUCUGUCUCUUUUUUUUUUUCAGGCAGUAAUGGAGAGAACUUAAAGGCAUUAAACAUCAUAGAUGAGGGUGGAAGUACACGUUUUCUGUUUCUUUAAGCUAGACAAAAACCUAACAGUCUGAAUUGGAAUACUAUCACUCAUAACUUCUACUAUAUAAAUAAAUAAUUUUAACAAGUAUAACGUCCUAGUAGACAUGAGACAGUUAAUGUAGAGACCAAGGAACAACUGGGUCAUUUGCCUCAGUACUGAGGUAGUUUCUUAAUUGGACGUGUUAAGAGUGGUAGAAGAUCUCAUCUGUUGACAACUUAGAAAGUUGCAGUUGAGGAGGCAAAAGGAAAACAGAAAUCAUAAGCACUUUUACACAUAUGAAGUUGUUAAUAGGCAGCUUCUAACUCUAUGUAUGUUCGUAUUACUAAAACCUAGAACAGCACUCAGAGUACUUGUAAGUGCUCAACAACUGUUUAACCAAAACGAAACUAAAAGAAAAACAAAAUGAAACAAACAAAACUGGUACUUGUUAACAUCAGUCAGCUAUGUCCCACUCUAGGUUCUUAAUACUAUCAGAUUAAUAAAAACUCUGAAACCAAAGUAACCAUGUCCUGUGAUUGUAU